GCCGAGCUCAGUAAUGUGGGCUUAUAACCCAAAUGGGGGCAAUAAUGUGGUGGAAUAUUGAGCCGCUCCAGAUGGUAGGACUUGGUGGGCUAAUCUCUGGCCUACCCUGUCCAAGCACAGAGUUGGGUCAUGAGGCCCAAGCCAAGGCAUGGGCUGCUGGACUCCUAAAGUGGGGUGGACCGCGUGAGGCUGGUUUCACAGAGCAAUGAAUAGUUCCCGCUCUGUGCAGUGGAAGGAUUACGGGCCAGUGUUCUCCAAGUCCAACAAAUCCCUGAUGGGCUUCUCCAAUUAAACUAUUACUUUU
rfam:Nicotiana sylvestris Nsyl_contig26109, whole genome shotgun sequence.